ensembl:rRNA 5S_rRNA 5S ribosomal RNA
GUCUAUGGCCAUGCCACCCUGAACAAGCCUGAUCUCAUCUGAUCUCAAAAGCUAAGCAGGAUCAAGCCUGGUUAGUACUUGAAUGGGAGACCGCCUAGGAAGACCACAUACUGCAGGUG